UACGGAGGGUGCGAGCGUUAUCCGGAUUCACUGGGUUUAAAGGGUGCGUAGGCGGACAGGUAAGUCAGUGGUGAAAUCUCUGGGCUUAACUCAGAAACUGCCGUUGAUACUAUUUGUCUUGAAUGUCAUGGAGGUAAGCGGAAUAUGUCAUGUAGCGGUGAAAUGCUUAGAUAUGACAUAGAACACCGAUAGCGAAGGCAGCUUACUACAUGAAGAUUGACGCUGAGGCACGAAAGCGUGGGGAGCAAACAGG
rnacentral:rRNA from 1 species